rnacentral:rRNA from 1 species
AUUGCCCCAGUAACGGCGAGUGAAGCGGCAACAGCUCAAAUUUGAAAUCUGGCUCUCGGGCCCGAGUUGUAAUUUGUAGAGGAUGCUUUUGGUGAGGUGCCUUCCGAGUUCCCUGGAACGGGACGCCAUAGAGGGUGAGAGCCCCGUCUGGUUGGACACCGAUCCUCUGUAAAGCUCCUUCGACGAGUCGAGUAGUUUGGGAAUGCUGCUCUAAAUGGGAGGUAUAUGUCUUCUAAAGCUAAAUACCGGCCAGAGACCGAUAGCGCACAAGUAGAGUGAUCGAAAGAUGAAAAGAACUUUGAAAAGAGAGUUAAACAGUACGUGAAAUUGUUGAAAGGGAAGCGCUUGUGACCAGACUUGGGCUUGGUUGAUCAUCCGGGGUUCUCCCCGGUGCACUCUUCCGGCUCAGGCCAGCAUCAGUUCGCCCUGGGGGACAAAGGCUUCGGGAAUGUGGCUCUCUCCGGGGAGUGUUAUAGCCCGUUGCGUAAUACCCUGUGGCGGACUGAGGUUCGCGCAUUCGCAAGGAU